rnacentral:rRNA from 1 species
AUUGAACGCUGGCGGCAUGCUUUACACAUGCAAGUCGAACGGUAACAGGUUAAGCUGACGAGUGGCGAACGGGUGAGUAACGCAUCGGAACGUGCCCGAUCGUGGGGGAUAACGCAGCGAAAGCUGCGCUAAUACCGCAUACGAUCUGAGGAUGAAAGCGGGGGACCGUAAGGCCUCGCGCGAUCGGAGCGGCCGAUGUCAGAUUAGGUAGUUGGUGGGGUAAAGGCUCACCAAGCCAACGAUCUGUAGCUGGUCUGAGAGGACGACCAGCCACACUGGGACUGAGACACGGCCCAGACGCGUACGGGAGGCAGCAGUGGGGAAUUUUGGACAAUGGGCGAAAGCCUGAUCCAGCAAUGCCGCGUGCAGGAAGAAGGCCUUCGGGUUGUAAACUGCUUUUGUACGGAGCGAAAAGGCCCUCUCUAAUACAGGGGGCUCAUGACGGUACCGUAAGAAUAAGCACCGGCUAACUACGUGCCAGCAGCCGCAGUAAAAC